GCGAGCAGGGGGGCAGGCGGCCGGCCCGCAGCUCCAGUCGUUGCGUCUGGUAGCCCGCUGGGCUCGCGCUCCUGUCUAUCUGUCUGUCGGUCUGCAGGGCCUGCGCCGGCCCGGGCCCAUGGCGCCAUCUACGGCUCUGUCGGCGGCGGCGGCAGCGGCAGCCCUGUCGGGCCUGGCGGUGCGGCUGUCGCGCUCAACCGCGACCCGCGGCUCGUACCGCGCCUUCUGCAAGGGGCUCACGCGCACGCUGCUCACCUUCUUCGACCUGGCCUGGCGGCUGCGCAUGAACUUCCCCUACUUCUACAUCGUGGCCUCGGUGAUGCUCAACGUCCGCCUGCAGGUGCGGAUCGAGUGAGCGCCGCGGCAGCGCCAGGGGCCCGGGGGGAGGGUCGCCCACCCGCCCACUCGCCUGCCCUGGGCCGGGACGCGGGCAUGAAGGACAGCGGGGGGGCCGGGAGUCCCAGGGACGCGGCGGGGGGCGGACGCGGGGCGGCCCGGGCCCCUCCACUCGAGACCUUCGCAGCAGGGCGACGGCCACCGAGCCCCGACCCCAGUCGCAGCCCGCCCCGGAUCGCGCAGGAACUCGCUAAACGGGCCCUUCCCACCGGGCCCGAGAAACUGUUUGAGUUCGGCCGACCUGUUGCCUCACGUUGGCCAAAGGGGGGAACCAGAAGGAAACAAUUCUGCUGCUGCAGCCACUUCAUCUGCCAGGCCCAGAGCAGAAAGGCAUUGGCGUUUGUAGGUGGUCACCCGGCUGCUCCUUCUCUGGCCUUAUCAAGAGUCAAAUCCCCGCCCGGGGGCACCCCUGGCCCUGGAGCUGCCUGGGGAGCAGCUGAGUAAACGGCCUGACCAGCAGGAGAGGAAGGGCCUUCCUGGUAGAGGCACAGCAUGGGUGGGGUCACCCAGUGAUGGGGUCCUGGCAUGGGGAGGAUGGGCCAUGGGCCCUGGGCCCUGAGAUCUCCUAGGAACACUGUGAGAGAGAUGUGUUCUCCCCUCCUGAUGAUGGAGGAAACAGGCUGGGCAGGGGGAGGGAUUUGCCCUUGUCACACAGGUGGGAAGUGGUGGAGCUGAGUCUGCCCCUGGACCUCCAGGCCCCCACUCCCCUCCCCAGUCUUUUCUAAGACCUGGCAAGGUGGGGGGUGGGGCACAGGGCUCCCAGGCCACCUAGGGAGAGAGGGGCCCAGGGUGGGCAAUCUGGGGACCUAGCUUUCCUUGGAGCAAUAUGGAAGGUCACAGGAGGGACCAGCAGGACAGUGAGCCAGAUGGGGGAUGGGAGAGAAGGGUCCCAGAAGCCCUGGGGAGCCAAGUUAUCACCUCAGAGCCCAGCCUCCUCAGUGUGCCUGAACCUGACCAAGGACUCCUUAGCAGUUGAGGGUCACAAGCCUCAGUUUGGUGGCAGAGUGAGGGUGAUGGGGCAGUGUGGCUUCUGGGACAUGACAUAACCAGGAAGGUGAAGGGAUGAACCUGGGGUAGGAUGGGACUGGGACCCAUGGCAUGACCCCAUCUCUCUGUCCUCAGGCUCGGUCCCCCCUGCCCAGGAUCACAGGAGGAUAUCGUCGAGAUGGGCUUGGAUUGGUCCUGGGGGCCCAGGGCGUGCUGCUAACCGGUGUACCAAAAUGGCCAGGAGCAGCCCGGGGCCCCCAUCCCCGUUCCCACAUCUCUGGCACUGGUAGCUCAAGGUCCACGUUCUCAGUUCCUGGGACUGAGAACUGCAGCAGUCUGGCCAGCCCCAAGGCAGAGUGGCCCAGCCUCCUGCCAUCUGCCCUCCUCAGCUGCCUGCUGGAGCUGGGACCCAAAUCAAGACCUCUGGCUGCCUCACCCCGGGAUGAGGCUGGACGGUGGCUGCCAUGUGCCCCUGCGGUUGCCCACAGCCAGGGCCCGAUGGUGUGCUUCCUUGUGCCAAGUGUCCUGCUGGCCCUUCUCAUCCACCCAACCCCGUCCACCCCGGACUCCCUGUCAGCCUGCUGACCCCAUGCACAGAUCUUGGGGCACCUCUGAGGGACAAAAGUGACUCGGGGCUGGAGGAGAGCAGAGAGGGAGUGAGGGGGCUCCUUGGGUCUGAUACUCAGAUGUGACCCUUUCCAGCCGAGGUCUCACCUUCUGCGUAAGUAGAUCCCCAGCUCCAGCCUCUUCCUGGGCCAUCCAGGAAGGGAGGAGGAGGGCUCAUUACUGAGAGAGAGAGAGAGCGCGCACACGCACUGGAGUGCGUGAGUUCCUGCCUGCUGCGUGGGCAGGGAUGGAGCUGUUGAGCAGGAGGAGCUGCUCUGGGCUCUGAGGCCUCCCUGUGCAAGGCGGGGACUCCAGCUGGGGCCAGGAGGCUGCUCUCCAACAGGGAGAAAUGAGCCUCAGGUGUCCCUGCCCUCAGAGGGCCUCACUGCAGGGAGCCCCAGCCCCUGCAAAGGGCCACAUCUGCAGCGGCUUCAGCUAGAGCUGUGCUGGCCCAAAGCCUGGCCCUCAGAGUCUUGUUCCUGCCCCUGCUUUCUGGCCCUUCAGGCCAGGUGGUGGCGUGCUGCAGCUUUCGCGCCUCCCCUCCCGCCUCGCUCUGCCCCAUGGGCCCUUGCUGGGUGAGGGGGUCUCCCUGCACUUUAUUUAUUUGCAGUCUGUUUUCCAGGCAGAGCUUCUACAAAUGCAGACACCGACCGGAA